rnacentral:misc_RNA from 1 species
GUAGGUGAACCUGCGGAAGGAUCAUUAGAGAUUGUGCGCAAGCACUUUAUCAUUCAUACACCUGUGCACCGUGGUCUCCGGACCUACAAACAUGAAGUCACGAACGUCUUUUAUUAUAAACAAUAAAACUUUCAACAACGGAUCUCUUGGCUCUC